rnacentral:rRNA from 1 species
AGCGAAUAGAUACCCGGGUAGUCCACGCCGUAAACGAUGGGUACUAGGUGUAGGGGGUAUCGACUCCCUCUGUGCCGCCGUUAAACACAAAUAAAGUACCCCGCCUGGGGAGUACGGUCGCAAGAUUAAAACUCAAAGGAAUUGACGGGGACCCGCACAAGCAGCGGAGCAUGUGGUUUAAUUCGAAGCAACGCGAAGAACCUUACCUAGACUUGACAUCUCCUGCAUUACCCUUAAUCGGGGAAGCUCCUUCGGGAGCAGGAAGACAGGUGGUGCAUGGUUGUCGUCAGCUCGUGUCGUGAGAUGUUGGGUUAAGUCCCGCAACGAGCGCAACCCCUAUUGUUAGUUGCUACCAUUAAGUUGAGCACUCUAGCAAGACUGCCGUGGUUAACGCGGAGGAAGGUGGGGAUGACGUCAAAUCAUCAUGCCCCUUAUGUCUAGGGCUACACACGUGCUACAAUGGCGAGUACAAAACGAAGCAAACCGCGAGGUGGAGCAAACUUUAAAACUCGUCUCAGUUCGGAUUGUAGGCUGAAACUCGCCUACAUGAAGCCGGA